UAAUUCCGGGAUUCUCCUGUAGGCCAAUCAGGUUGCGGAUUCACUUCCAUCUGGAGUUGGAUUGGGUGGCUCCUGCGGACCAAUCAGACUGCUGCAUUCUGAAUCCUAUUGUUCUAGGACCAAUCAGACUGCUGCAAUUUGGAUCCUAUUCAACUCAGUACACAACACAGCCUUACAGUGUUAUUCUAAAGUCUUAUUCUUGAAUACUUUUGAAACCUUCCCAAGCUACUUAUUUUGGGCAUGUGCUUGCCUUGCUAUAUUUAAGCAAAACCACGAUUGCUAAUUCCGCCCGAAAGGAACCUUGAAAUCACACAGGGAAUGGAGGCUGCAAAAGAUGUUUAUUUUUAAAUUAAGAUAAGUUAAUUGAAGAGAACGGCUUUGCCAAAUAUACGCUCGACUCCCAGAACCGAACGAGUACACUUCAUUCUUUCCCGCUACCCUCCACGAGGCAGGCUGGGACUACACUUCCCAGCGUUCAUUGCUUCUGGGUCCUCACCUUCAGGAUUAGCCAAGGCAGCCUUACCUGGUUGUCAUUGCGUCUGAAGCAUUACGUUAGCACAGAUUACGACUUUGUUUUGCAGCAUAACAAGAGGAAUAUCUUCUGUCGUCUGAGGGAGCCUUCUGAGAAUCAGCAGCGGGGUCCCUCGAGCCUAAGAAAGUGACGCUUCUAUCCCGGCGCUACACUGGGCGCCUCUGCUGCUCUGGGGGCCUCUCGUCGACGACGGCGCUUUAGGAAACGUCACGGUCGUUCCGGUUUUUCAAAAUGGGCGCGGUGUCGGCGGCAGUUCGCGUCCUGGGAGCCGCUCCUGCCUAUCGGGGGGCUCCGGUCUCCCUCACCUUUCCUUCGUAGGCUUGCUGGGCCGAGGCGCCCAAGAAUUCUGCGAUACUCCGAACCGGCCCUCGUUCGCAUUCAAAAUAAAAUUUAAAACGAAGCCAAGCAAGUUUCCACAAAGCUUCCCUACAGAGUCUGGGGGCCCUGUCAAACAUUGAAGCCUGCAUCCAUCCAUGGCCACAGAGUUUGUGCCCUCGGAGGUUGCCCAAGAUUAGGUGGACGAAUCUUGUGCCCUGCAACCCUGACCUCUUACACCUGCAGCACCAGAUAACACAGCUCACAAUGUCUGAUAAUUCCUCUCUAAAUAAGCUUGGGGGGGGGGCAGGGAUGAGAGUAAAUGAAAGAUCCAUUGUGAAAGUGUUGGAUACACCCAGUUCAAAAAUUAUAUGGAUGCUUUCCUGA